ACUAAAAUAUUAAAAGUCUAAGUGAAUUAGGUGCCCAUCUCAUUUUAGAAUGACCUGAGCAUCAGGAGCAAACAUUUUACCCAGACUCCUAAAAUCAAGACCAGAUGCCUUUCUAAACACUAUGCUGUAAUUCAACCAUAUUUUUAUUGGACACAGUACAGGAAUUACAGGGUGAAGUUCCAUGGUUUCUGUUAUGUAAGAAGUCAGGCUACAAGAUGGCAUGGUCCCUCAUGUCACUAAAAUCUCCAAAUAACUGAAGAUGAAAUCACAUCUGAUUUGCUCAAAUUUCACUUCCUGGGUUCUUGCGUUGUCAUAGUUUCGCUCCAUCUCCAGCCACUGAAGCAAGUUUUGGGGAAAUUAUGUAGGCAAGAUUUGUAUUUUUAAUGUAAAAAACAAGGAAAACCCUCAGAACUUUGGAAAAACCUUCCUGUGAAAUUUCCACUGUCUUCAAUGUGCUUAUUCCACUUCAGCAUUGAGCUGAAGGGAAUGCAUAUCUGUGUUUUUGCAUUCACUCUAAUGCUGUAAUCACCAGGCAAUAAAGCGGGGAAUUUAUGCUGGGUUGGUAUUUUAAGCAUCAGCUUUAUCAGAAGAAUCAAAAUGCUGAUAAAAAGAAAUAGAAUCUAUUUCUGGAAUAGAACUUCUAUGAAUCUACAAAUGGUAAUGUGUACUGAAAAACAGAGGCCUUUCUCUUAUUCUCAGGUUCGGUUAUGAUGGAAUUCUCUUUUGAGUGUGGAAAAUAUCUUCUAAUUUUCAGCACUCUAGAAGCCAAGUACUUGAAAGAGUCCAAGUGUGUUGAAACUUCUGAAGAACUCUAAUGUCAAGAAAACCUCUGCAUGUUAAACCAUACUCAACUAUAAAACGAGUUUUAAAUGUCUUUUCUGUUGGGCAAGAUCACUUGAAUGAAAGAAAACUGGAGAUGAGUCCUGUCUAAUGUAGGAUUCAAGAACCAAAAAACUCCCACCACCUUACCAAAAAACAGCCCGGAGAAAUCAGCUUCGGUGGGAAAUGGAAGGAAACAAUAGAGCAAGGCAUUGAAAAAGGAUCUUCUAGGUCUGAACUGACUACUCUUGUGGCUGGACCAGUGCUGUUUUGAUGCAGUUCUCUGUUGGGAGGCAAAUGAAUUACUCAGUGUUUGAGACAGGAGCACAAAGCAUCCCUGCAGUUGAGGACUAUGCCAUGACAAAAACAGCCAUGGAGGUCAAAUGCACUGUUUCUUUGGUGUGGGUGGAAUGCCAUUGGAGAAGUGGUAAUGUAUAAUUUCUUGAGAUUUUGAAAGAUCAUGGAAAAUGAAAGCCUGAUCCUUUAGAAAUACAUCAAUACUACUGGACUUCUUUAGCAAUCCUUUGAACUAAUGAUAGCAGACAAAGGGAGGUGUCAUCCUCUUUGUCAUUUAUCUGCCUGGUGCUUAUGUAGCCUGUAAUCCUGAUGUCCCAUAUCCCAUGUGAGUUUGCCUGCUGCAAAGAAAUUCUUGCUUUUCUUGUAAAUUCUUUCAAACCCAUCACAGAUUUGGCAGCUUUCCCACUCUGCUGAUUAGAAAAUUCAUGUUGGCAGAUUGCUUGGAGCGUGUAGGUGAUUCGGUGAUUUUGUAUCUUUUGCCCAAAGAAAAUUUGGUUCUUCCUUUGUUUCUGAUUUUUCCCAUCUUCUUCUCUCUGUGAUUUCUUCUACUGUUUAUAUUACUUGUAUUAACCCCAUCCAAGUGGUUUGUUCUUCCCAUUGUUCCCUAAAACCCUGGCAAGUCAUUUUCCUGAUUGGACGUUGUCAGCAGGGGGAGCAUCAACAGCACAGGAGACUUCCACCAGGGCUACUGGGUCUUCAUGGAGGAAUGGAGUCAGACUUGAAGACUUAAAGACAGAAGUUUGGCCAUCAACAAGUACAUCAAAGACAGUUCCAUACCCAGAAAUGUUGACUCAUAUGUAAAAGAUAGUGAGCUCUUCAUAUUUACA